GAUGAACGCUGGCGGCGUGCUUAACACAUGCAAGUCGAACGAAACACCUUAUUUGAUUUUCUUCGGAACUGAAGAUUUGGUGAUUGAGUGGCGGACGGGUGAGUAACGCGUGGGUAACCUGCCCUGUACAGGGGGAUAACAGUCAGAAAUGACUGCUAAUACCGCAUAAGACCACAGCACCGCAUGGUGCAGGGGUAAAAACUCCGGUGGUACAGGAUGGACCCGCGUCUGAUUAGCUGGUUGGUGAGGUAACGGCUCACCAAGGCGACGAUCAGUAGCCGGCUUGAGAGAGUGAGCGGCCACAUUGGGACUGAGACACGGCCCAAACUCCUACGGGAGGCAGCAGUGGGGAAUAUUGCACAAUGGGGGAAACCCUGAUGCAGCGACGCCGCGUGAGUGAAGAAGUAUUUCGGUAUGUAAAGCUCUAUCAGCAGGGAAGAAAAUGACGGUACCUGACGAAGAAGCCCCGGCUAACUACGUG
rnacentral:rRNA from 1 species